rnacentral:rRNA from 1 species
CCUACGGGUGGCAGCAGUGAGGAAUAUUGGUCAAUGGACGAGAGUCUGAACCAGCCAAGUAGCGUGAAGGAUGACUGCUCUAUGGGUUGUAAACUUCUUUUAUAUGGGAAUAAAAUGUUCCACGUGUGGGAUUUUGUAUGUACCAUAUGAAUAAGGAUCGGCUAACUCCGUGCCAGCAGCCGCGGUAAUACGGAGGAUCCGAGCGUUAUCCGGAUUUAUUGGGUUUAAAGGGAGCGUAGGUGGUUUGUUAAGUCAGUUGUGAAAGUUUGCGGCUCAACCGUAAAAUUGCAGUUGAAACUGGAAGUUUGGAGAAGAGGAGAGGUGGGGGGAAGGCGUGGUGGAGCGGGGAAAUGCUAAGAUAUCACGAAGAACUCCGAUUGAGAAGGCAGCUCACGGGACUGCAACUGACACGGAGGCUAGAAAGUGUGGGUACAAAACAGGAUUAGAGACCCUGGUAGUC